rnacentral:rRNA from 1 species
GAUGAACGCUGGCGGCGUGCCUAAUACAUGCAAGUCGAGCGAACAGACGAGGAGCUUGCUCCUCUGACGUUAGCGGCGGACGGGUGUGUAACACGUGGAUAACCUACCUAUAAGACUGGGAUAACUUCGGGAAACCGGAGCUAAUACCGGAUAAUAUCUUGAACCGCAUGGUUCAAUAGUGAAAGACGGUUUUGCUGUCACUUAUAGAUGGAUCCGCGCCGCAUUAGCUAGUUGGUAAGGUAACGGCUUACCAAGGCAACGAUGCGUAGCCGACCUGAGAGGGUGAUCGGCCACACUGGAACUGAGACACGGUCCAGACUCCUACGGGAGGCAGCAGUAGGGAAUCUUCCGCAAUGGGCGAAAGCCUGACGGAGCAACGCCGCGUGAGUGAUGAAGGUCUUCGGAGCGUAAAACUCUGUUAUUAGGGAAGAACAAAUGUGUAAGUAACUAUGCACGUCUUGACGGUACCUAAUCAGAAAGCCACGGCUAACUACGUG